rnacentral:rRNA from 1 species
AUUGAACGCUGGCGACAGGCUUAACACAUGCAAGUCGAGCGGAGAGAGGUAGCUUGCUACUGAUCUUAGCGGCGGACGGGUGAGUAAUGCUUAGGAAUCUGCCUAUUAGUGGGGGACAACAUUUCGAAAGGAAUGCUAAUACCGCAUACGUCCUACGGGAGAAAGUGGGGGAUCUUCGGACCUCACGCUAUCAGAUGAGCCUAGGUACGAUUAGCUAGUUGGUGAGGUAAAGGCUCACCAAGGCGACGAUCGUUAACUGGUCUGAGAGGAUGAUCAGUCACACUGGAACUGAGACACGGUCCAGACUCCUACGGGAGGCAGCAGUGGGGAAUAUUGGACAAUGGGCGAAAGCCUGAUCCAGCCAUGCCGCGUGUGUGAAGAAGGUCUUCGGAUUGUAAAGCACUUUAAGUUGGGAGGAAGGGCAGUAAGUUAAUACCUUGCUGUUUUGACGUUACCGACAGAAUAAGCACCGGCUAACUUCGUGCCAGCCGCCGCGGUAAAAC